rnacentral:misc_RNA from 1 species
GGUAGGAAUGAUUGGGAUAAGCCUGGAUCAUCCGGGCGUCGAUCCAGGGGAGAAUUUCAGCCCGGGAUCAAGGCUCAAGGCUCAAGGCUCUGGCUACUGCCUUUUCAACCGGGUCCCGGCGCCGAGGGUCGUUCGCCCCUUUCCAUUUGGCUGAAGACCGAGAUGACGUUGAUUUUGACCCGUGUGGCACCUAGCGACCGCUGCCGCUUGUUGUUGUUGCUGUUGUUGUUGCUGCUGCUGUUGUUGGUGUUGGUGUUGCAUUCCCAAUCUCAGCUAUAACACGAG